rnacentral:tRNA from 1 species
AGCAGUGUAGCCUACUGGUAAAGUGCUUACCUAACAAGCAUGUGGUCUUGGGUUCAAUCCCCAGAACUGCCA